rfam:Brachypodium distachyon strain Bd21 chromosome 1, whole genome shotgun sequence.
AAUGGCAUGUCAUCAUUUAUGCUACACUGAAUGUAAUGUGUGGACAAAUACUCCGCUUAUUGUCUGAUGCAACU